AUGAUGAAACAGAAAGAGACAUCUGCUUGGCUACAUGAGGAGCCUGCCCUUGGAGAGCCGCCUGGAGGUGAAAAUGGAAGGGGAAUUCACCACUUGCGUUCUGCCCAUACCCCACAUCUCUCUGGAGAACUCAACGGCGAUAUGAGACUCCGUCACUAACAGAACUCCAGUCACAAAUGUUCCACCAUUUCCACUUGACUCUGGCUCUGAGAAAAUCUUCAAAAACCAGCUUACAAAAUAUUAGCACAGUCAUGACUCAGAUAACACGCCUGGCCCUGGGUGGAUGGACACCAGGAGAGACGCAGGACAGUAGCAUGAAAAUGGACCCAGAAUGUAUCUGGGGAAGACUGCUGACUCAGCGGAGUGGCAGCAGCGGGAAAUGCCACCAAAGAGGCGAGACGCAGAUGAACUAGACCAGCAAGAGGAGUCUAGCUCACAUGGAUCUGUAGACAAUACGUACAAAUAAACUGACUUUUCAAACAGCCAUUGGCUGGUUUCCUCCCAUUUGCUUGUGUUCACGUAAAAUCAAAGUAAGAGAAAAUACACCUACCACCAAAUCUGGAUUCCCAAGCCUAGACGGAUAUCAAACUGACUCUGCGAGUAAGAGUCCACAUACCCCUCUUCAUGGCAGCUCAUGCAUGAAAAUGUGGGCAUUGGGAGAGAGAGAUGGAGGCCAUUUGUAACACCGGUAUUUCCUAAAGUGCCAACUAAACAAAGGGAAGUUCAGCAGCUUGUAAAGGAGGAAGAGUGCAAGCUCUGGAGUGGAUCUGUUUUCAAGCCCUAGCUCAGCUGUAGCGAAUCUUGUCAGUCGCGAGAGCACCUCCUGCAGACCAGUCACACCUCCAGUUUUCGGAGAGAUAUCUAAGCAUCUUGGAGUCAUUUCGUAUGAAUCCAGCUUCCCAAAUGCUGGAUUCCCAACCAAUCAUUGAAUGAGAAAACCUCAUGGGUACUGGCAGAAUCUUUGCUCAAUUCGGUUCUUGGUUCUCGCCUGAGAGGUAUUGGAGCAGAAGGGUCAGGGCCGGUAGGCGCAGGCACGCUGCUUGCUCUGCUAUGAGAUGUGUACCCGGGUAAGUUCCCUCAGCUCUUUAUGUCUCAGAUUCUUCUUUCAUAAAAGGGGGCCCCAAAGAGUAGCGAUCUUGUGGGGCAGAUGUUGAGGACUUGAACCAUGGCACUGGUGAAAGCGCCCAGGGCAGGGUGUGGCACCUAGAGAGUUCCCUGAGCUUCACACCCCUUAUCAUCCAUCUCCUCCCUUUAUUUCCAAUAACUGAAUGCUAACCUGAAAUCAUGAACAGUAAAAGCAGAUGGCCAAUUAAGGUCUUGAGGAAAGUUGUGCAACCAGAGAAUGAACAUAUUUCUUCAUGAUAUUCCCAGAGGAAGGUUGCAUUUAUACCCUGAAUUAGGAAGAUUCCACGUGUGUUCUACUGACCCUGCCAUGCUACUGCUAUGGUGUGUGCAGCUGAAAAUUACUCUGUCAAUGAUUGCCAGGUUAAAGACAAGAAAGAGGGUCAGUUAUAACUGGACUUUGCCUAGGGUGCAAUUUCUUAGUUUGCUUAUUUUUUUUUACAUACUUCUUAUCCAAUUUGUAGGCUAAUUUUUUCUUCCCUUGGAUUGUGAUUUUAGACCAUUUGAAUAAUUUUAAUAAAUAUAAAUAACAGUAACAGUAUCUCUACCAUAAAGCAAAAUAAGACAAAAAAUAAUAUGUUUAGGAUUAAGAUUUAAAGUCACUGGUGAGAAAAAUGCUGGUUGAAAUAAUUUAGAAACAUAUUUAAGUUUAAUUAUACAAGUUAUAAUUAUUUCCAGUUAUUUACCUAAUUGAUGGUCCUGAUUAGAAAUACAUCAAUAAAUCAAAUAUUUAUUC